rnacentral:rRNA from 1 species
GACGAACGCUGGCGGCGUGCCUAAGACAUGCAAGUCGAACGGGACCUUCGGGUCUAGUGGCGAACGGCGGAGUAAUACAUAAGUAACUUGCCUCGAAGAUCGGGAUAGCCGCGGGAAACUGCGAGUAAUACCGGAUGUGACGAGUGGGGGGCAUCCCCUGCUCAUUAAAUGGUUUUUCGCUUCGAGAGCGGCUUAUGACACAUCAGCUAGUUGGUGGGGUAAAGGCCUACCAAGGCGACGACGUGUAGGGGGUCUGAGAGGAUGAUCCCCCCGAGUGGGACUGAGACACGGCCCACACACCUACGGGUGGCAGCAGUUGGGAAUCUUGCACAAUUGGGGGAAACCCUGAUGCAGCGACGCCGCGUUGGAGGAAGAAGGGUCUAGGCUCGUAAACUCCUUUUUCAGGGAAAGACUUAGGACGGUACCCUGAGAAUAAGCUCCGGCUAACUACGUG